rnacentral:tRNA from 1 species
GCCUGGAUGGCUCAGUCGGUUGAGCGGCUGACUUCGGCUCAGGUCAUGGUCUCACAGUCCGUGAGUUCGAGCCCCGCAUCGGGCU